UCCAUCUUCUUCGUCAGGAGUUUGUUUUCUUAAGUUGCUUGAGGAGGAUGAAAUGGCAUUUGAUAUCCUUUUUUGUAUUGCCUUUCAAAUGAUGGAUGCUCAAUGGCUAUCAAAGCGUGCAACAUAUAUGGAAUUCAAUGAUGUUUUGAAGUCCACAAGAGCGCAGUUAGAGAAUGAGCUUGCGCUUGACGAUAUCUCUAGCGUGAGAGAUUUACCAACUUACAACAUCUUGAGAUGAUGGACGAUUGUCAUUUAAUUUAACAUUUCUCUCAUUUUUCCCCCCUUCCUCUAUUUUGAUAGAGAAUGUUACAUGAAAUGUAUCUAAAUAAUUUGUCACUUUAUUUCCAUAUAGAAAUGUGAAAAAUCAAGGGAUAGUGGGUUCACAAAUAUCAUAUCAAUUUGUUGAUUUCCAUCA